rnacentral:rRNA from 1 species
AUUGAACGCUGGCGGCAUGGCUAAAACAUGCAAGUCGAGCGCGAAAGAGGAGCAAUCUUCCAGUAGAGCGGCGAAAGGGUGAGUAAUACGUUUCUAUGUACCCCGAGGUCAGGGAUAGCCCAGGGAAACCUGGAGUAAUACCUGAUGUGGUCCUCAUGUCAAAGUGAGAAUCAAAGGCUUGCCGCCUUGGGAGCAGGGAACGUCCUAUCAGGUAGUUGGUGAGGUAANGGCUCACCAAGCCAAUGACGGGUAGCGGGUGUGAGAGCAUGGCCCGCCACAUCGGGACUGAGACACUGCCCGGACUUCUACGGAAGGCUGCAGUAACGAAUCUUCCACAAUGCGCGAAAGCGUGAUGGAGCAAUGCCG